AUUUGACCUCAAAUCAGGUAGGAGUACCCGCUGAACUUAAGCAUAUCAAUAAGCGGAGGAAAAGAAAAUAACAAUGAUUCCCCUAGUAACUGCGAGUGAAGAGGGACAAGCUCAAAUUUUAAAUCUGUUAGGUUUACCUAACCGAGUUGUAAUUUGAAGAGGCGUUUUCUGUGUUUUUGAUCAGCCCAAGUCCUUUGGGAUAGGGCAUCAUGGAGGGUGAGAAUCCCGUUCGGUUGAUCAGAUUCGCUUUACGAUACGUCAUCUAAGAGUCAAGUUGUUUGGGAUUGCAGCUUAAAAUGGGAGGUAAAUUUCUCCUAAGGCUAAAUAACGGCGAGAGACCGAUAGCGAACAAGUACCGUGAGGGAAAGAUGAAAAGAACUUUGAAAAGAGAGUUAAACAGUACGUGAAAUUGUUGAAAGGGAAACGAUUGAAGCCAGUCGUACCUUCGGGUAAUCAGCCUUUCGGGUGCGAUUCUGUGGAGCGUGGGGAGUUAAACGCCUUCAUGCCUGCAUAUUCGUGCACUUUGGGUGUACUUGCCCGUGUGGUAGGUUAACAUCAAUUUCGGAUGUCAUAAAAUGGCUGGAGGAAUGUAGCUUCGGUCUCGUACUGAAGUGUUAUAGCCUUUGGUAGAUGUGAUGACCGGGAUUGAGGAUUGCAACGAAUACCUUUUGGGCUAUCCGUCUGAUCUCUGAAAGUUGCUCUGGUGCCGAAAGCUUGCUUACGGUUAUCAAAGUUGACGUUCAAAAGGUUAGAACGGGUUAAAUUCGUUAAGGAUGUUGACGUAAUGGCUUUAAACGACCCGUCUUGAAACACGGACCAAGGAGUCUAACAUAUAUGCGAGUGUUA
rnacentral:rRNA from 1 species